UGCCGCCGCUGGUAGUACAGCGUGCCGCCGCGCACCACGUAGCAGGCGGCGGCCUUGCGGAUCUUCCGCUUGGCGUUGCCCUCCGUGCCCGGCGCGUACGGCUCCCGCUCGUUCGUCAGGUACCGCAGGAUGGCCAGGCAAGAAGGCUCCUCAAAUACCAGCUCCAUCUUCCCUGCUACCUGAGCCACUCAGUGAAGACUGGGGAAGCGUGUGCUAAUGCAGCAGACUGUCUAAGAAACCAAGUGUUUUAUGGCAGGAAGAUGCUUUUCAGUCUGCAAAACCCAGACAUGGUCAUUUCACAGAUUCAUUCCCUUCAGUGUAUCUCACACAGCUGAGCAGACCAUGGCACAAGUAAUGUAAUUCCAUCAGAUGUUUAUUCAGCACGACCAACAGUUUGGCAAGUUAGCGCUUUCCACCAACACGGGGAGCAGAAACCUUGACUGGUUUCACAAUCUUCUGCUUAGGUGCUGCCUUCGUAGGGGCCUGUAGAGAAAUAAUGAAGUAUGAGUGAAAAGAAGCUAUUCAUCUGCAGUUCUAAAAGUAUCCCUGUAUGUACUCUUGACAAAAAUCAGAUCAGACUAGAACUGCAAACUGUAAUACUGGGAUCAUGUUAUCAUUUGUUUACACACAUAGCACUAAGCCAACAUAAGGAAUUAAUUCAGAAGUGUUAAUGAAACACAUGGUAGCACUCAUCAAUAUAUUGUUACCAAGUUCCUAGGUAGUGAAGAUGUCACAUUCAAACAAGUUUUUAUUAAUUAUUUCUGAUAUUAGGUCAGAGAAUCGAUUUCCUGUAAUAUUUACUUAUUCUGUAAAAAAGAUUAAUUCUGUGCAGCUGUUUGGGUAUGCUUCACUUUAGUACAGAAGUUCAGUCAAGAAGCUUUCACAUCAAAAAGUUACAAAAAUGCUUCCUCAAAACAUAAACAGGAAUUUCCAAAUAAUUGUGUGUCAUGUUGCAACAUGGUGUAUUCCAUUUUAUAAUUUCUAUUUGCCUAUUACAUCUCACCUUUGCAGCAGAAACAGCCGUUUUCUUGGUUGCCUGCUUUGCCUUCUUGGCUUCCUUUGCAGCCCUGUUAAUUCAUAGAAAAAGUGGAAGUUAGCCAUAUCUGCCAUUCACUGUUUCCUUGUUUCAGCACUGUAAGAGCUUCCCAAGAUCAGGAAUGGAAUGUAUUACUGCAGAUUUCUCCUCUAUAUUCACUAUCCCCUGAAGGAAUUUCUACAGAGACAGCGGAACUGUGAGUGACAAAGGUGCAAAGGGAAAAGGCAAGGAGAGAUCCUUCUCUGCUGCCACUAUCUCUUGCCAAGAUUACUCAGUAUUACAUACAAAUAUACAGAUUAAAAACAAACAAAAAAAAAAAAACAACCCACAAAAAAAGUUUUAUAAAACACAGAGCUCACCUAGAGUUUAGGCUUUUAUAUGAAAAGUACUGUAACAUUUGAAAAGCCUGGGACAGCUCCACUGAUCUGACUUCUCACCUAAUAGCUUGUUCCCUCUGCGCCUUCCGUACUUCGGGCUUCUGGUUUCGCUUGGCCAUAAUCUCAGCCAGAGAGGCACCAGUGAUGGCUCUCUGGAACUUCACGGCACGGCGCGUGCGCUUCUUCUGGACCUCUUCCUAAGAGGGCAGGAGACAAACAGAGACAAUUAGCAUCACAAGAUGUUAAAUACGUGGCUAAAGACAAUUACGAAAACAAGCUGCUACUCAAACUGAAGCUGUUUGAAACUGUACACUAUAGUAGAAUUUUACUCCUCACUUUAGCGAAUCCUCCUGUUUGGUACACAGAAGUGCUGCCCCACCUCCACAUGGCCCCUUCUCCACCCACAUCCUGUACUUUUCACAGUGUGUUACUACCAACAAUCCUUGGUUGGCUCCCCAGCUGUUCAGCUAUCAGUGUUGGAGACACACAUAUUAGAGAGACCCUAUAUCUUCUACAGCAAAGUACAAAAAAAAGUAUUUUAAAAGAAUGUUAUAAGUUCCACCAGCUGUACCUCUCAGAAGAAAAAAGGGGGGGAAGGAUAAACCUUCAAUGGUGUCUUCUGAAAGGAAAACACUCCACACCUAUUGAAGUGGAUCAGGUGCUGGGGAGCAGUGUAAGCCAUGAACCAAACUGACAAGAACACAGAUAUUGCACUGAUGUGGGCCUUUCCCAAAGCUCCUCUGCUGUGCAAGUUUAAACAAGAGCACUGCAGCAUACCUCAUGCUACAUGCCUUCAUGAUUUAUCCUUUUAAUGCAAUGACAACUGCCUAGGGAAAGACCUCAUGCUAAGCUACAGCCCAAAGUUUUCAAGGAGAGUAUAUCAGGAGUGUCAUCCCUGCCCCUCUAACCCCAAAAUCAGCUCCCUGUGCUGUCACCAUUGAGGAAGUUUACAAGUCCAAACUUCUAUGAAGUAUGCAUAUUAAACAGCAUUUACCCACCUUCCCUAAAACUAACUUUUAAACACAUGCCAUUCCUACAAUUAUUAAGAUCUACUGAACAUACUGUGGCUCUGAGUGGUCUCUCAAAGAAGUGCUCCAACACAAUCCAAUGUUUUUGCUGAAGUGGUGUAUAAACUCAUGUAACUGCACUCACAUUUUCACCAUUACUAACUAGUCUUCAUCCUGGUAACGUGGGUCGUGCUUCUGCUGAACACUGGCACACUUAAGUGACCUCUAACAGACCAUGGACCACAUCUUUUGGUCACCAAAUUCCAGUGCCAUUAGCUGGCAUGUACUUACUGACUGUCCCUUCUUGUGCUUACGCCUGUACAGAACAGUCCAGUUGAUCUGACGAGGGUUUCUCUUGGAAAGGAAUGCAGACUCACAUUUUGCAUUCAAGAACUGAAAAACCUGGGAAGGCAAAACGUUUUGUGUAAGCUUUGUUUCCAUGACAGGCAUUAUCACAGUUUGCAUUAAAUAUUCUUUGAGUCAGUGUUUUUCGAUAUUGUUGUUUCUGGAGUUCUUAAAUACAGCUCUGACUAUUCAAAAUUUUAUAAAAUAAUUCAAGAAAUCUCAAGUUUUGUCUUCUGUUACAUUGGUCAAACCGAAGUCUUGCAAGGGAUUCUGAAGUAUCUUCAU